rnacentral:lncRNA from 1 species
ACACGAUCUACCUUGCCCUUGGUCUGAUCCGAUCUGCUCCAGGCUGCACGCGUUCCACCCUGCUGGCCUCCCGCUGUUCCCGUCGACCCGUCGCUGCCGUCGGUCGCCUCCGUCCGCCAGUCAUCGCCGCUGCUGCUGGCUUUUGCUCUUCCGGCCCCACCCUCUUCGCACCGCGGCUGGCUUCCGUGACUCUUCGCACCGUGGCUG